rnacentral:lncRNA from 1 species
CCGGAACUAGGGGCUGUGUUGCAACUCAACCUGCGCUGUCGCGGAAGACACCACCUCCCAGCGCGCGGGAGUUUGCGGAACUGGACCGGCGGUGCGGGGAGCGUGGGUAGGAAACGCUGCUGCGAAGGCUUUGGCUGCCGCGGACCUCUGGGCUGGGGGCUGGCGCGGGGGGCGGGGGCACCCCGCCCCCGGCUCGGUGCCCGCAGUCUUCUCCCCGCCCUUAGCUUAAGGGCGGAGGCACAGAGCCCACAUUGUGCCCCCACCCCACCCCUCCCCUGCCGAGACAGAGCCCCAUUCACCUCUCACACGUCAGUCUUGUGGAUGGGAGCUGGGGCGUGUGCACGCGUGGUAUGCGUGCACUCCCGCUGCGCCUACAGUGAGCAGGGUGGGCUGCAGGAGCGGCGCCCCGCUACUCCAACACCCACCCCACCCCCCAAUCUUGCCGCAGUGGAGCUUCGGCGGCCCACGCCGCUGCGGCUUCAGUUAUUUAUAGGCCUUCGCUGCGGAGAUCCGAGAUCUAGGUGGGACUGUGCAGGGCUGGAGGUGGGGUGGGAUGGCGUGAUGGGGAGUCCUAAAGACAGCUUGGAGGUAGUGUGCCAGCAUCCAGUGGUAGGUCUGGAAGUCCUCCCCUGAAGCCAGGACAAGUAGGAGCCUGGGGCCAGUUUGUUGAUGGCUAAUGGGAGAUUGGGGGAGGGAAACGAGUUGGGAUGCAGCUGGUGGAGAUCACUGUCCAGUGACAGGGUGGGGAGUCUGCUGUCAGUGCCUGAGUGAAGGUAGUCACUCCCUCCCCUCAUGUUUAACAGGGUAGAAGGUGGAAUCAAUGUCCUGUGAUGGGGGUGGAGUAGAAGGUUCAGUGAUUGUGUGACUAGGAGAAGGAAGUGAACCGGGUAGUCCUGGUAGUGCACUGGAGGAGUUGAGAUCAAUGUGUGUGGGGGUCACUGUUUGGGUAUCUGAGAAGUGGGCUGGAGGGGGUGAGGCUAGAUGUGAAUGAGACGUCAAGGACUGGUAGAGAGGAAGGAGUUGGUAUGUAGGUAAGGCAGGGUCAUAGGAAGGAUGUGGUGUCUUUGUUGAUGGGUGGUUGGGGUCAACGUUUAGUUUAAGGAGGUGAUGGGUCAGUGUGCAGUAUCUGCCUCUCUUCUGCAGGCAGAAGUGUGACUGCUCCCCUGUUCUUUCUCCAGGAGGCCAUGUCUGGAGAGGAUUCUGAAGUUCGAGCAGUGUCUGAAGGGGGCUCCAAUGGAGGCAGUGGUUCACCUAGCCCUGGGGACACACUACCCUGGAACCUUGGUAAAACACAGAGGAGCAGGAGGAGCGGAGGUGGCUCUGGGGGCAACGGCAGUGUCUUGGACCCUGCAGAGCGGGCUGUCAUCCGCAUUGCAGGUAACGUAGAAGUACCUGGUCUGCCCAGCUCGUUAACACAGGCCUGUUGAUUAAGCACCUGCUGUGUGCUGCGUGCAGGUGUUUGGAUUGACUGGAUGAAAGGCCAAAGGAAAACUGUUGUUAGGGAGGGCUUCUCUUGUUCCAGGUGAGUGCAGGUAGUACAGCGCCACCUGCUGGCCCCCCAGGUAGCUGCACAAGCCUAAGGCAGGACUUCUUGCUACAUACAGCCCUACCAUCUCUGGCUUCAUAACAAGGGUCCAGAUGUGAUGGUGAUAAUUCCUUGGGGUCCUGGAGCUAAACUGCUCACCAUGCCCCCCGGUUUUGGCUGCCACCCAGGAGCGCAUGGAAGUAGAACAAGAGGAGAUACCUGGUCAGCCAGAGUCCAGCUUUGCCUACCAGUCUGAGGAGGAAGAUGAGAAAAAUCCAGCAAGAAGGCCAGGGGAGGUUGGCAGGCAGUCUAUCCCUUUGGGAAGUAAGUGACCUAGGGCUGGAGGCCAUUGGGCAGAAUAUAUCAAGCAAGGGAGUACGGACGGUAUUCCAUCCACUAGGACCCUCAGGGGCUUAUGAAGCAUAUGAAAGGCAUGGUAGGUCCAGGAGGCCAGGAAGGUAGACCAAGGUGUGAGGGAGAGGACUGGAAAGCCAGCUGCCCAGUGGGGAGGUGAUGCUGCAGGCAUCGAGGAAGUUUGCUGUUGGAAGUGAAGCAACAGCUUGUGGAAAUAGGAGCAGAGAAGAGUAAUGGACAUGCUCUUGCUACCCUGACCCCUGCCCCCGGGGUCAUGUGCUUGUGCAGGAACCUAUGAUCUUUCUCAUUUCAUGUAGGAUUUUGUGUGUGUGUGUGUGUGUGUGGUGCUGGGGGAUUGAACCCAGGGCCUUGUGCAUGUGAGCUAUAUCCGCAGCCCUCAUGUAGAAUUUUAAUUGAGGUCAUUUUUUUCCCACUUGAAAGAGAAUCAUGAAUGUCCUCCCCAUGGACCUUUAAUGAUGCAAAGGGGUGGGGGCUGCAUCUUAGCAGCCACUUAAGGUGGUCUUUGGCAUUCAUGUGCUAGCUAUGCUCUAGCCAGCACCCCUGGCAGGGUCUUUGUGUUUUCCUCUGAUUAUUUUCUCAGGAUUGAUUCCUAGAAGAGGGACUUCUGCUCACAGGGCUCACAGGAUUUAACGUUAGGAGAAACACUGCCAGGAGUGGUCCAGAAAGCCAUCUGUCAAUGUGGGGAGACAGAGGGCCUUGCCAGUCUGAUGGGUGGAAAGGAAUUGUGCUAUCAUUUAUUACCAAGCUUUCUUUUUUACUUCUGUAAAUCGUUUACUCUUGUCAUCUUAUGUACAGAUUUUUUUUUUUUUACUUGCGUUUAAAGGACUCUUUGCCUACCAGAGAUAUCAACUCUGUCUCCAAUACUGCAAUGGAAGAAUUCUAAGUAAAGGCAAAGGGGGGGAAGGGGAGCGCGCGGGCGGCCCAGUGAGGUCGCACUGGCUGGGGCCAGGGAGCUGGAGGACGCUGACCUGGGACCCAGGAGAAACAGAGCUGCGGGAGGGCCGCAUCCCGGUCUGGAGCGGGAAGGGGCGUGCGCCCGCGGGACCCGCGUGGGACCGAAACUCGGAGCCCGCUGAGCAGCGCCCAGGGGC